GAAGGUGUGCUGUGAGGCAUGCUGGAGGUAUCAGAAGUGCGAAUGCUGACAUAAGUAACGAUAAAGCGGGUGAAAAGCCCGCUCGCCGGAAGACCAAGGGUUCCUGUCCAACGUUAAUCGGGGCAGGGUGAGUCGACCCCUAAGGCGAGGCCGAAAGGCGUAGUCGAUGGGAAACAGGUUAAUAUUCCUGUACUUGGUGUUACUGCGAAGGGGGGACGGAGAAGGCUAUGUUGGCCGGGCGACGGUUGUCCCGGUUUAAGCGUGUAGGCUGGUUUUCCAGGCAAAUCCGGAAAAUCAAGGCUGAGGCGUGAUGACGAGGCACUACGGUGCUGAAGCAACAAAUGCCCUGCUUCCAGGAAAAGCCUCUAAGCAUCAGGUAACAUCAAAUCGUACCCCAAACCGACACAGGUGGUCAGGUAGAGAAUACCAAGGCGCUUGAGAGAACUCGGGUGAAGGAACUAGGCAAAAUGGUGCCGUAACUUCGGGAGAAGGCACGCUGAUAUGUAGGUGAAGCGACUUGCUCGUGGAGCUGAAAUCAGUCGAAGAUACCAGCUGGCUGCAACUGUUUAUUAAAAACACAGCACUGUGCAAACACGAAAGUGGACGUAUACGGUGUGACGCCUGCCCGGUGCCGGAAGGUUAAUUGAUGGGGUCAGCGCAAGCGAAGCUCUUGAUCGAAGCCCCGGUAAACGGCGGCCGUAACUAUAACGGUCCUAAGGUAGCGAAAUUCCUUGUCGGGUAAGUUCCGACCUGCACGAAUGGCGUAAUGAUGGCCAGGCUGUCUCCACCCGAGACUCAGUGAAAUUGAACUCGCUGUGAAGAUGCAGUGUACCCGCGGCAAGACGGAAAGACCCCGUGAACCUUUACUAUAGCUUGACACUGAACAUUGAGCCUUGAUGUGUAGGAUAGGUGGGAGGCUUUGAAGUGUGGACGCCAGUCUGCAUGGAGCCGACCUUGAAAUACCACCCUUUAAUGUUUGAUGUUCUAACGUUGACCCGUAAUCCGGGUUGCGGACAGUGUCUGGUGGGUAGUUUGACUGGGGCGGUCUCCUCCUAAAGAGUAACGGAGGAGCACGAAGGUUGGCUAAUCCUGGUCGGACAUCAGGAGGUUAGUGCAAUGGCAUAAGCCAGCUUGACUGCGAGCGUGACGGCGCGAGCAGGUGCGAAAGCAGGUCAUAGUGAUCCGGUGGUUCUGAAUGGAAGGGCCAUCGCUCAACGGAUAAAAGGUACUCCGGGGAUAACAGGCUGAUACCGCCCAAGAGUUCAUAUCGACGGCGGUGUUUGGCACCUCGAUGUCGGCUCAUCACAUCCUGGGGCUGAAGUAGGUCCCAAGGGUAUGGCUGUUCGCCAUUUAAAGUGGUACGCGAGCUGGGUUUAGAACGUCGUGAGACAGUUCGGUCCCUAUCUGCCGUGGGCGCUGGAGAACUGAGGGGGGCUGCUCCUAGUACGAGAGGACCGGAGUGGACGCAUCACUGGUGUUCGGGUUGUCAUGCCAAUGGCACUGCCCGGUAGCUAAAUGCGGAAGAGAUAAGUGCUGAAAGCAUCUAAGCACGAAACUUGCCCCGAGAUGAGUUCUCCCUGACUCCUUGAGAGUCCUGAAGGAACGUUGAAGACGACGACGUUGAUAGGCCGGGUGUGUAAGCGCAGCGAUGCGUUGAGCUAACCGGUACUAAUGAACCGUGAGGCUUAACCUU
rnacentral:rRNA from 1 species